GCAGUCGAGCGGUAACAGGGGUAGCUUGCUACCCGCUGACGAGCGGCGGACGGGUGAGUAAUGCAUGGGUAUCUGCCCGGUAGUGGGGGAUAACUCGGGGAAACCCGAGCUAAUACCGCAUACGUCCUACGGGAGAAAGCAGGGGAUCUUCGGACCUUGCGCUAUCGGAUGAGCCCAUGUCGGAUUAGCUUGUUGGUGAGGUAACGGCUCACCAAGGCGACGAUCCGUAGCUGGUCUGAGAGGAUGAUCAGCCACACCGGGACUGAGACACGGCCCGGACUCCUACGGGAGGCAGCAGUGGGGAAUAUUGGACAAUGGGGGAAACCCUGAUCCAGCCAUGCCGCGUGUGUGAAGAAGGCCUUCGGGUUGUAAAGCACUUUCAGUGGGGAAGAAGGCAUGAUGAUUAAUACUCGUCAUGAAGGACAUCACCCACAGAAGAAGCACCGGCUAACUCCGUGCCAGCAGCCGCGGUAAUACGGAGGGUGCAAGCGUUAAUCGGAAUUACUGGGCGUAAAGGGCGCGUAGGCGGCUUGCCAAGCCGGAUGUGAAAGCCCCGGGCUCAACCCGGGAACGGCAUUCGGAACUGGUAGGCUAGAGUGCAGGAGAGGAAGGUGGAAUUCCCGGUGUAGCGGUGAAAUGCGUAGAGAUCGGGAGGAAUACCAGUGGCGAAGGCGGCCUUCUGGACUGACACUGACGCUGAGGCGCGAAAGCGUGGGUAGCAAACAGGAUUAGAUACCCUGGUAGUCCACGCCGUAAACGAUGUCGACCAGCCGUUGGACCCCUUGAGGGUUUGGUGGCGCAGUUAACGCAAUAAGUCGACCGCCUGGGAGUACGGCCGCAAGGCUAAAACUCAA
rnacentral:rRNA from 1 species